rnacentral:sRNA from 1 species
UAUCAGCUCAUGAUCUUUGGUGGUCUCC